rnacentral:lncRNA from 1 species
UGAUGACUAACAUGAAACAUCCAUUUGACAGGAUCUAGGAUCAAGUAGAGGACUGACUUCUGGGAAAAAAAGAUGUAACUGGAGAGAAUGGCAUGAUGGGGAUUAAAUCAGCCUCAGAGAAAUGUACAUCUUUUCUUUCAUUUGUGCCUAGACUUUAUGGAUAUGUAAAAUCAUAUAUGUAUAGACGCAGUAAACAGAACAAAAAACAAUUCCUAAGAACGACGAGCCCCGUGAAGUAUGUCAGGAAGUCAGUAAUCAAACCUGCCCAAUUACGUUUCCUACAACUGAUUAAGAUUAAUCUGGACCUUCAGAGGAACAAAAAUUCGGUUGCUGGGG